rnacentral:rRNA from 1 species
ACAACUUUCAACAACGGAUCUCUUGGCUCUCGCAUCGAUGAAGAACGCAGCGAAAUGCGAUAACUAAUGUGAAUUGCAGAAUUCAGUGAAUCAUCGAGUCUUUGAACGCACCUUGCGCCCUUUGGCACUCCGAAGGGCAUGCCUGUUUGAGUGUCAGUA